ACUGGAAGAUGCUAAGAUGAAAAANGACAAUUUUCCGCAGGC
rnacentral:tRNA from 1 species